CUCGGCCCGGCUCCCCUCCUCAGGAGGCCUCGGGCCACGCCCCUGCAGAGCUGGGACCAGGAACUGUGUUUCUGCGGCUGCCGGGGCCCUGCCUUGCCGGAGCCCGCCGCCCGCCGCAUCCUGGGUGACUACUGGCUGAGUCCGCAGCGCCACGGCCCACCCAGCGCCGCCUAGGGGCUGGCCGUCGGCGCGCAGGAUUGAGCUGCUGCCUGGGGCCACCGGCCCGGCCGAUGUGCAGUCGCCGAGCUGGCCCGCUGGCCACGGCGCGCGCCCGCACCUCACUUGGAAGCACCGAUGGCAGAAUAUUAACUACCAGUUCCAGAGCAAGAGGAAGAGACACCUGGUUUUCCUGCGCCCGUGAGAGCCGCCUCAUCUGUGUGGGUUGUGCCAUCAGUAUCCCCGUUGUACCCAGGGAUUUGGGGACACAGGCUUCAGGCUUUUUGCAUGAUGAUCCCGAAGCAGACUUGCACCAUGCCAAGGAUGAGCUGGAAGGAGUGCUGAACAAUUCAGUGCCCCCUGUCUUCAGAUUAUCUGCCUUAUCUCCCUCUUGGGGUCUCUGAGAUCCUGCCCUUCACACUCCAAAUAAAUGAGCUUCUGCCUCUCUGGG
rnacentral:lncRNA from 1 species